rnacentral:rRNA from 1 species
GCAGCAGUGGGGAAUUUUGGACAAUGGGGGCAACCCUGAUCCAGCCAUUCCGCGUGAGUGAAGAAGGCCUUCGGGUUGUAAAGCUCUUUCGGCAGGAACGAAACGGUGGAGGCKAAUAHCCUUCAUCAAUGACGGUACCUGAAGAAGAAGCACCGGCUAACUACGUGCCAGCAGCCGCGGUAAUACGUAGGGUGCGAGCGUUAAUCGGAAUUACUGGGCGUAAAGCGUGCGCAGGUGGUUUYGUAAGACAGAUGUGAAAUCCCCGGGCUUAACCUGGGAACUGCGUUUGUGACUGCGAGACUCGAGUGYGGCAGAGGGGGGUGGAAUUCCACGUGUAGCAGUGAAAUGCGUAGAGAUGUGGAGGAACACCGAUGGCGAAGGCAGCCCCCUGGGUYGACACUGACGCUCAUGCACGAAAGCGUGGGUAGCAAACAGGAUUAGAUACCCUGGUAGUCCACGCCCUAAACGAUGCSAACUAGGUGUUGGAGAAGGAGACUUCUUUAGUACCGUAGCUAACGCGU